rnacentral:misc_RNA from 1 species
GGAUGAUCCUAUUGUAAACAGCAUAACCUACAUUAUCCGAUGCAAUUUGCUUCUGUUCACCUUUAUGAGUAUGCUAACAAUAUUAUCUGGAACCGUAAGUAACUCCAAGCGUCCAAUCAUUUAUAGAAUAAACACUGAUAAUUCUACAGGCCACUAUCUUCCUAACGUCCUCCCAUUUUUCAUCCUUCAUUGAAACUGGCGCUCCAAGAAGAACAACUCCAUUAUCUCCUUCAGUUUCAGCCAAACAUUGGUGACAUUUGAAAAUUAUUUGGGGCCUCCACUGAGAAACCUGUACCAAUGCAAUCCCUUUAGCAAAAAAACUUUCCAGCUUUAUCAGAUCUGUCAACUCCAAUCGCCCAUUUUCUGUCCAUAAGACCAGUUGCAGUCAGUACAGCUGCUGGUAAAGCCAGUGCUGUUAAAAG